rnacentral:rRNA from 1 species
GGCGGCACGGGUGAGUAACGCGUAGAUAACCUGUCUUCAUGUCUGGAAUAAUACGCCGAAAGGGGUACUAAUACCGGAUAUCUUGCUUUCAUAAGUAUGCAAGCAAAGGUGGCCUCUGCAUAUGCUACUGCAUGAAGAGGGGUCUGCGUACCAUUAGCUAGUAGGUGGGGUAAUGGCCUACCUAGGCGACGAUGGUUAGCGGGUCUGAGAGGAUGAUCCGCCACACUGGCACUGGAACACGGGCCAGACUCCUACGGGAGGCAGCAGUGAGGAAUAUUGCGCAAUGGGGGAAACCCUGACGCAGCGACGCCGCGUGAGUAGAGGAAGGCCUUCGGGUCGUAAAGCUCUGUCAAGAGGAAAGAAGUGUACAAUGGCUAAUACCUGUUGUUAUUUGACGGUACCUCUAAAGGAAGCACCGGCUAACUCCGUGCCAGCCGCCGC